ACGUGUCAGCAGUGUUAACAGUGUUAGCAUUGUUUGUUUGUCACAGAGUGGGAAAGGUUCGCCGGAGGUCCCGCCAAACAGUUUGUGCGUUUACUGUGCGUCACUGACGACUCAUUUUAAACUGGAGUAACUUUAUCAACAGCCCUGCAAACUGUUGCCACAAGUGGGCGACUGUAUGUCCAGAGGACACAAAAUGAUGGAAGCAGUAACUGUCACCCGAUGUUAGGUGGUCACGUGCCUUAUCAGACGGGAUCCUUCUGUCAGAUUGGACGGGUUGACCGCGCCUCCUGCUGUCCGGUUGCUCCCCCAGGAUGGCCCUCCAGUGGUUAAAGGUCUGAACUGCAGCAGCGAGGACGUCACACACACGACUCAGUCUUUCACCAGGAGAAGCAGCUCACUGGUACGUGUCGUCACAGAAACACACGUGGCUUCAAAAACACUUUGAAAGAAAAGGAAAAAACAAAUGACUCCUCAUUUGGUGUUACAAGAACAUGAUUAAAUUUACUCUAAACCGUAUUAGUAGCCUGUAAAAAAAAA